AGCUUUGCGCAGUGGAAGAAAUUGUCACCAGUGAGGUUUAUCUGAGGUGUGAUCAUUGCUAAUUGAAAACUUCCCAGUACCCCACCAAGACAACUUGAAAUAUAGUACCAGUGCC
rnacentral:snRNA from 1 species